rnacentral:snRNA from 1 species
GUGCUCUCUUUGGCAGCACAUAUACUAAAACUGGAACAAUACAGAGAAGAUUAGCAU